ACAAAUAGCAUCCCAGGGAAACCUGUGGCCCUGACUUGGAAAGCAAACCUCUCUGCAGCCACAGGACCCCCAACUGCAGCCUCACAGAGCCUGCCCCGGCCACCCCAGUCUGGGCUAACUGUCCUGCCUUCUCCUCCAAGAUUCCCUUGCCUGGGUCCCUCUUCCCUCAGCCUCACCACACUCCUCUGGGGACCCUGUCCUUGGACUUCACCCUUUCCUGUCCAGACCACUGUGAAGGCCUUUAGCCACCUCCUAGAGAAGCAAGAUUUUCAGCCCUGGCUUUCCACCCCCACACCCUACAGAGGGCUCAUCAAUGUAUGGAGAAAUGAAAGAGCACUGCAUUUCACAUUGGAGGGAUCUGGGUUUGAGUCCUUGGGCCAGCCUUGCUACAGUGGGGGCAAGAACACCGAUCACACUGGCUUAUUACGGAAUUCAAAUGUGGCAGACAAUGUUCCUGCAACCGUGUCUUCAGCACUGGCAUUGGGCGAUUAAUUAAAUUGCCAUUAUCCUCCACGAAGUGAUGACUACUGAUUAGGAACAACCCUUUUUCUCCACCGCUCACUCGGCAGUCCUGUUUCUGCCUGGCCGCAGCCUCAAGUCUCUGCUCCAAGGCGCAAGGCAGACGCACGCAGACAGGCUUUGUCGGUUCGCUGAUAUGUGCUGUUUGGAAAAUGAGAACACAAGGAAAGCUGUCCUUAGGAGGAAGAGGCAAGAAGAGGCAUCAGGAGGCCAAGAGAUCAAAGCGAGGUGUCAGAAACAAAGACAGUGAAGGAGUUCAGUCCUCUUUUAAUGCCGCCUGCCAGUUCAGACGGCCACUGCCCUUGCCUUCUAGGGAAUUCUGCUGCUUAAGAGGCUCAGACAAGCCCCAGAAUGCCCCGAUGAGGACACAACAGGAAGACAAUCCAUAGACAGAGAAAGUGCUUUGUUUUACGGUUUCCUGGGCACUGACACCAGCAGCCUUUUCUGCCAGUGGUUCAAAAUAUGAGACACUGGUGUUUUUUCCUGGCUCCCUGAAUUUAAAUUACAUCACCAAGGAAGAAACUUCCUGAAGGAAAUGAAUCGCUGCAGAUAACGAUCCCUCACAAUGGAUUUCAAAUUGUAAUAAAAAUAUAACUUGAAUGUUAAAGGUGAAUUUCAAUUAAGGAUUCCAUCACAUAUUUUGCUCCAGACCACAAUAAAAAAACUUAUUUCA